GUGGCCUCAAAACCCCAAUGAAUGAGUGUCUCAUGCAGCUCUUCAGGCCCUGGAGGGCAGCCAAGCCCAAUGGAUGAAGCUCUAGGGUUGGAGUCGGGAAGGACUUCCGUUCACCUCGAGCCUUGGUGGGAAAUCUCGGAACCUUAGUUUCUUCCUCUGCAGUAUGGGGAUGAUGAUAGCUGCAAAGCAGAUCUCUCAGAGUCCUGGUGAGGCUCCGUUAUUGUAACGAGGUUAGCUUGCCUGGGAAGUGCUUUGCUCCCUUUAAAGCGAUGUGUACGUGACCAUUGGGAUUAUCCCAAAGCAGCUGAUGGAAUGUGGAGGGGUGGGAAAGCUGCUUCUCACCCUUCCAGGCGCACCACCUGCGUGUUUAGUUGAUGAUAAGCACAGUGACCCACAGCUGACCAGCCUCUACUUUCUAAGUAACUCCCCCAUCCAGUAUGGUCUCCCAUUUGUCUCCCGAGUCAGCUGCAGAAGAAGGUUCAGAGAAAUUCAUCGACGGAGCCAGGGUCCCACAGACGUUGCAGCCUGGCCUGCCUGCCUCCCAGCGCUGGAUGGGCUGUCGCUUUAAAGAACUCUCUUCUCUGAGUCCCUGCUCUCCUGGAGCCCCUGAGGCCGUGCAGAGAAGUCCAAGAUGUGUCAGCCAGUCCAUCGACAAGCAGCAUGCUUGGCAUAGAGCCAAGCCCUGGGGACAGAAACAGCCCCUAACCCGAAGGAGCUAAUGGGAGAGCACCUGCACACACUCGCGUCCACGCCAGGGAAUUUCACGUCUGAUGUAAUCACAGCUUUGCCACCUGAAGCAUGAUUGACAGGUGAGCAGAAGGUUUGUUUCUUUGGAGUACAGGAAAUGACAGAGUCCAGAGCCUAGGAGCGGGCGGAGCUGGCUUCCACCCUAGAGGUCACUUUUGCCUGCCAGCUCCUUCAGUACCUGAAAGCAAGCUCUUCUUCCUACCAGACAGAGGGACAGAGUCGGCUCUUUUCUAGGCCAAGCAGCCCCAGCUCCUUCCAGUGAUGUUCCCAUGAUGCUGGGGGCUUUCCUGGGAAUGCCGUGUCUCCCAGAAGUCAGCCCAGCCCUGGGCAGAGGAGAGGGGCUCCGGUCCUGGAUGCUGGGGUUUGCUGUGGAUUUCCCUCCAUCCUUCUUGUCAAGGACGGUUUUAAAGCCCACUCGAGCAAACCGUUUGCUCCAGGGCUGAUCAAUCCUGUGAGCUGUUUCUCUUAGCCGUCCUUAGAACAGAUUAAACAGUGAAGACACUUAUUUCUAUGGCCGUCUGGGGACACCAGGCUGUUUUAAAGUCACGGUGACACAGAGAAUACAAUUUUGCCUUGCCUGGAUUUUCAGACCAACGUGGAAGGCCCGACCACAACCUGACUUCUUUUGGCAGCUGAAAGUCUGAAAGCCGAGGGUGGAAAACAAUCCUCCCCAAAGGGCAGAAGGCCCAUUGUGUCCUAGAGAGCACUGGCUCCCACAGCAGGCUUGGGAGCUUUGGAGACCCACGAUUGAUUAAUUUUCGCAGAGAGAAAUGACCUUUUUUCCUGUUUCAAGUUUAACCUUCAUGUCCUGUGCAGCCGGUGAGAAACAAAGGGCUUCUGUGCGUCCUGAACAGGGGACAGGUGACAUCUUUGGCACUCCCUCCCCAGUGAUGAUGGACAAAGUGCACUUGCUCAUUGUUUCGUUCAUUUGUUCAUCCAGCCAACACGCAUCUAUCUGCUCCAUGUGCUGUGGGAACACAGGGACGCACUACACUGCCCCUGCCCUCCCAGGACUCACCGCCCCAAGCCCCCAAGCAUCAAAGAACCAGGACACGGGAGAGACCCUUGGAAGUGCCGACCAGAGUUGGGGACAGUGUGAGGGAGGGGGUCUGACCCUUGGUGGAUCAGCGCCCAGCUUCUAACUCCUGGGUCCUUUGUACGCCCGUGUAGAUGGACAGGUCAUUAUGCUAGAGAUGCCGUGUGCUGAUUUCUAACUUUUAGCUGACUGGAGAACCAGAGUCAGAACAGAGCUUAUGAUAAACGUGUCCAUUGUCCUAACCCCUGUAUCCUCUGUGUGGUUGACAUACAGCAUUUCAUUGGCUUCUCCAGGCAGCUCUGGGAGGUGGGUGCGACCCGGCUUCUGCCUGUUCUACAGGUGUGAUGACCACAUUUUAUAGAUGAGGAAACUGAGGCACAGAGAAGUCCGUAGCAUCAUGGGAAUGUUGGCUAGAGGUGGAAGGGAUGUUGGAGGUCAUCAAGUCAUAUCCCUUAGUGACACAGAGAGGAUAAGUGACUUUCCCAGGGUCACGCUAACAGCUAGUUGUAAACCCCAGCCUCUCUCGCCCUAGUGCCCUGUCCACUAGGCCAUGCUGAAUCUG